rnacentral:rRNA from 1 species
GACAGAGGGUGCAAACGUUGUUCGGAAUUACUGGGCGUAAAGCGCGUGUAGGCGGCCCUGCAAGUCAGUUGUGAAAUCUCCGGGCUUAACUCGGAAAGGUCAACUGAUACUGUGCGACUAGAGUGCGGAAGGGGCAACUGGAAUUCUUGGUGUAGCGGUGAAAUGCGUAGAUAUCAAGAGGAACACCUGCGGCGAAGGCGGGUUGCUGGGCCGACACUGACGCUGAGGCGCGAAAGCCAGGGGAGCGAACGGG